GGGGCAUAGCUCCGUGGUAGAGCACUUGCCUCCUAUACAUGAGGCCCUGGGUUCCACCCCCAGCACCA
rnacentral:tRNA from 1 species